GACGAACGCUGGCGGCGUGCUUAACACAUGCAAGUCGAGCGGUAAGGCCCUUUCGGGGGUACACGAGCGGCGAACGGGUGAGUAACACGUGGGUGACCUGCCUUUAGCUCUGGGAUAAGCCUGGGAAACUGGGUCUAAUACCGGAUAUGACCUCAUGAUGCAUGUUGUGGGGUGGAAAGCCUUGUGCGGCUGGAGAUGGGCCCGCGGCCUAUCAGCUUGUUGGUGGGUGAUGGCCUACCAAGGCGA
rnacentral:rRNA from 1 species